AUGACAUUUCCAAAACGAUCCAGAAAAGGCCUGUGCAUCCCCCUUCCCCUUCUCCUACGUUCUUCUUCGCGAGCGGCCGGCGGGGCGAUUCUGUAGUGUCGGCCACCAGGGGAGAGGCGGAUUUGCCGAGCCAUGGAUUUCCCGCUUGAUCCGGUUAGCAGUAUGCCUAUCUAUGCGCCGUAUCCAACUGAGGCAACAGUGCUGAAUCUGCAAGGGGAGGACUCGGUCAGCAGCAACGCUGGGCCGGUGGCGGCGGGUGCGGCCGUGCUUGUGAACCUGGUGAACAGGAGUGGUGUGGGCGAUGUAGCUAGCUGCAUGGCUGGCCUGGAGGUACCGUUGGCCGCUGAUUCCGCGGAAUCAACUCGGCAGGACAAUCCACAAACGCCCGUGUGGUGACGCACCGGUAGACACAGGUAGCGAGCCACGACGUCCCAUCUCGAUCUGUGUCCUCUCCAGUCUCCUCCUACCAGCCCUUGGUCUGGCGUGGCGAGCCUUUCUUCCAGCUCUUAGUUUUGUGCAUCUGGAACUCGGGAAUAUGAUGGCGAAGGCCGACAGUAGUCCCACUGAGUGUCUUGAUUGGCACUUGUAUGAGGAGCAAAAGGAAAACUCGGCUCGGGUCAAGUAUCAUCUUUUUUUUUUUCAUCUGGACGCCAUGUCAGUUUGGGAUACUGAUUGGGUGGGAUGCGUGAUACGGUGAUAGUGCAGUCACUUUGGCCAUGAGGAUCUUACUUCUGCUGGCCUUUUAUGCUAGUAACUUGCAGGGAUGGCAAUUAUGAGUGGAGGUGUCUCCGUUGGCUCUUACUCCUGAUGGAUGAUGAAAUUUUGGAUGCCCUAUUUAUAUUUUGGUGAAGAAGACAAGACUGCUGCUGAAUGAAUGUUGCAAGUCAGUAUUUCCAUUGAUUGAUGUCUUGCUUAUAACUAGCGCCUGAUUCUGUUUUCCCAUAUUUCUUCUUAUUUAUCCUUGUUACCUGAUCCUACAAGAUCUUGUCAAUUGAGUGUACAUUCAGAAUUUGUUUGUCGGUAGGACUCAUGGUGAUCCUUGAACUGUUUUGCUCAGUGCCUAAAUGACCAACUGACUAGGUUACUCAGAUGUUUUGCAGUAGGACUAAUCAGCAGUGGACAUGUGGGUGUGCAUCACUUCUCUUAGUUUCAUGCCUAACCUUGUCAAGUAAUUCUAGUACACUGAAACCUGGCAAGAAUCUAGUACGGUGGUCAAGAAUCUAGUACACUGAAACCUGUCAAGAGUUCAAAAGCAAGAAGGUUGUGGAGAAAAACAAGACUUUAGCACACGUUCUGAUUCGUUCAGGUAGACACUAGAAGAGAUGAUCACCAGUUAAUUGGAGCUUUAAGCGCCUACCAGGAACAUAAGCUGCAGGGUAUCCGCUGCUUCGGCGAGUUUGCGGAUGUGAUGCAGCUCGUGUCUCUGGCCAGACCAAUGGCGAGGAGGUGAACCAAGGGCGAGCUUGAUGACAGUGACUGCUUCUAUUGCGGGAGUGGCAGUGAACAGGGGUGAGGAGGUGAACCAGGACACGGGCCAGCAUUGAGGAGGAAGGAGUGGUAGUCCAGGUGCAGGAACUCAUCCCGGUCCUUACGCAUGAGGAAGAGGGCAAGAGCCGAGGAAGAAAGAAGAACUGAUCGUUGUGCACGAGGACGAACUUGUCGAGAUCCUUGCGCACAAGUCGAGCGGAGGAGGGCGGGGGCGGUUCCUCUUUGCUGCGUCGGCCCAGGGAACCCAAGAGGCAGAGGUCCCUCGCCGUCCGCUAGCGAACUGCGGACGGUGGAGGCGGCAGCGAGGGACGGCCGGGGAGAACGGACGCGGAUGGAAGGCCGGGUUUUUGGUUUUAGAUUUCAAG